UGAAGAAAAAAGACAAAAAUCCUAAAAGGUAGGUUAAUUAAUAACUUCAGUGGCAUGCCAUUGUAAAUAUAGUGGAAAACUAAGGGAUAAUCUAAUUUUGUACUCCUCUUUUAAUAGAUUAGAUAAUCAAUUUAAUACGAACAAGUGUUUUUCAACCCAAACCGGACCGGUGGUGAGACCAUGUUAAGCAAUAAACUAAAAAUUUAUCUAGAUUGGAUAGAUAAGAAAACCCAAAAAAUUGACCGAGAAAACCAUAUCCAACCACUACAAACCAGAAACCAUCAAACUAAUGAACCAAAUAAAACAGAGGCCGUUUGUAACUCACUGCCAAAAAUCAAUUUUAUCAACUAUUUAGUCUUUAUAACCAAUUAAUCUAAUUGGAUUACUAAAAGGAAGCUACAAAUAAAAACUCCUAUGCUUCUUAUAAUGUUUGAUUUUUUUCUGAAUUUUGUAACUUACAAGUAUAAAUCUUUGACUCAUAACAUACCAAUUUUUGUGUUCGCUUUCCAUUUAGUUUGCAUUUAAGUUAUUUUAUUGAAAAUUUUAAUAGAUAAACUCAAUCAUGUUUAAUUUUUUUGUUGAAACAUAAAUAAAAAAUGCCAAUAUUUAGUUGAAUUAAGCUAAUUGAAUAUGGUUACACCCCGUUAAAUUAUAUUGAUCCAUGACUCAAAAACUUUUCCAAUUUGGUUAAAGAACCGUUCUGAAAACAUUAUCAAGAACAACUGAUCCUUGAAAAUUUAUAUAAUAGUUCAUUACAAAUUCACACUUCAUAUUUUUAGUUCAUACACAAAUAUUCCAAACAAUAAUUCAUAUAAUUAGUAACCAUAAUGAUAAUGAUGAAUGCUUAAUGAAACGGAAAUAAAAACAUUAGAGGCAAUGUUGUGAAAAAAACAUUAGAAGCAAUCAAUAGAAAUCAAAUGCACUAAAAAUACACUACACAGACUAGAUUUAUCUUCCUCGUCAUUCAAAUGUUAUUUGAAACAUAAUUUCUCAUAAAAGUGAUAACUACUUGAUCAUUACACUUAAUCAAUAUAUUUAUUAACAAAAAGUUCAUAAAUACUUAAAUGCCUUACAUAGAUUACUAUUAUUCAUUCUUUUAUAUUUUAAUUUGGAUAAAAAGACUAAAUACAAAUAUUAUAUAUAUUUGAUUCUUUUAAUUUGAACAUUAAAAAGUUUUAUGAAUGAAACAUUCUUUAAAUCUCUUUAUCUUCCCUAUCCCAGAGAAUAUCAGUUCAUCAAACUUGAACAUGUAAUUGUACUCGAUUCCUUCUGAAACAACAAUAGUGGUCUCCAAAACAAUUUUUGACGACUUUCUUCAUAGUCUAUACUGUUUAUCAUUCCAAAAUGAAGUCCAACCCAACUUGGAUUCCAGAAACAUCUCCAAUUCUAUAAUCUAUGUUGACACACAUGUUCUGUGUUGACACACAUAUUCUGUUGCUUGAGUAUCAUCCUCACAUCAUGGUAAAUUCGAGUAGUGGGAUUGACUUCAUUAUCCAAUAAGAUUUCUUUGUAGAUAAUACUGAAAUGGCGAUGAGCCUUGAGUAUUUUCUCACAUAAGAUAAGAUGAUCUCGCUACAUAAGAAGGAUGAACAUGCCACCAAGUUGUGUUUGACGCUGACUCUACACCACCUCUUUUAACUGUUGGUUCUUCCUAAUCACAUCAUCUUCUUUAAACCUGUUGUCAUAUCUAUUCACAGUUUUUGAAAAUUGAUCCUCUUUCAGUCAUCGUUUCAAAACUUAAUCAAGAAAGUGGACAAAAAAAUUAUGGAGGAACAGAGGAUUUUCUCUUAAUUUUGGCGAUUAUCAAGUUUAGCGGUAAAAUUGGCCAAAAAAAAGAAAAACAAGUUUGAGAAAUCUCACAACGAGAAAUACGAUGAGUUUGCGUUCUUCUUCUUCGUCUGUCUCGGCUCCUUGUUUUGUCUAUGAAAACAAAUCAAGAAACAGGGAGAAGAACUCCUUUUGAAGAACUCUUUUUGUCAGCAAGAGAGGCUGUCAGUGUUUGAAUUCAAGCGUGUCUACUAUAUUAACUAUUAUUAAAAAGAUCCCUGCUAAUUGGCUCGCUAGAUCAUUUGGUUUUGUUUCACCUUAUACAUUUUUCAGGUUGGCAGUUCGAAGCCCAAAUUGUCUGCCCUUUAGUUUUUUUUUUGUUAGUCUUUCGUUUUUUGACACGUGUAUACUCGAGUGUUUCCAGGUGAAUUUUCACUCGUCGUACAGGAACCAAAUAAAACUCUCUUUUUUUUUUUUUGUAAAACAAAACCAAACCAAAUAAAACUUCUUUUUUCUUUUUCUUUUGAUGCUGAAAAUUGUAUCAGAUAUAUCAACUUUUAAUGUUUUAGAUAGUUUUGAUUAACUGAUAAAAGAUUCCCUUCAGCAAACCUAUCUAUUGUUUGAACUCCAUUAUCUGUUUUAAAGCAAUCACAUUAUAUAGUAUGUCACAAAAACCAACAAAAAAUAAAUGGAUAAAUAUUUUAAAUAUUGAACCCGUCAAAAAGUAUGAAAUUUUUAUUUCCUUUUUUUUUAAUUAGUUUUUGUUAGAUCUCAAACUGAAAACUCAUGACUAUUAAGAGAAUAAAGAAUUCAAAUGUUUAUUUUUCUAAAAUAAUUUUAACAUGUUCUAAAAGAUGUGUAUCUCCUGAAUCUCGGCUAAAGCUCGUAUUUAUAGAUAGAAUAACAUUCCGAAUAUGACAAGAAGACAACUUACGGAUGAUGUCACAUAUUCAAUGUCCAUUCCAAUCAGGUAAUAUCAGUUGUCUGUAAGGACAUAUAUUCGCUGUGAUACAUAUACAACUGGCUUCAUCGUAAGUACGUUUAAAGCAUGCAUAGUGCAUCAUCUGUGUUCAGCAGGUUGUUAGAUAUGCUUCAUAUAUUGUUGCCCAUAGUGUGGUAGACCUUGGGCUUUGUUUUGGACGAAAUGAGUCUUUCUUCGAUUUGGACUGAAAAUAUUGAUGAAGGUGUAAAACCUACUUCCUACAUUAAAGUAUACUUCUUCGAUUUUAGAAUUCAAAAUUAUCCCUCAACUUCAAACCCUAAGUCUUUAUUAGUUAAUCAUAAAGAUAUAAAUGUAUAUUUACCAUUUAAUAUAACCAACAUAGUUGAAGAAUUAGAGUUCGAGCAUCUUCUUUCACCCAUCGUUAAUUCUUCUCUUACUAAAUGAUUAAUCGUCAUUGUUACAACUAUAUUUUAGCACACGGUCCAAAUAUAUGUAUUGAUUUGCACUUCCGACUGUAGCAAAAAAUUUUUAAAAUAUUUUCAGAAAUAAUAUUUUAAUUUCAAAACAAAAUUUUAAAAAUUGAAUUUGAAAUCAUAUUCGAAAACUAAAAAUUAUUAUUAUUUAUUAUUAUUAUUAUUAUUUGUUUAAAUAAUUAUUUGAACGAAUUACCAUAUUUGAAUAAAAAUAUUCAUUAAUUAUAAAUAAGAAACAAUAAAGAAUACAAUCAACAAAUCGUGACCGCCACAAUGGUUAAUGUAUCUGUUGAAAUACUGUUGAAACCCAGGUUUGAGUCUCUCCCACCUCCUUUUUAGAUAGUAGGUUUUUAUUAAUUAUUAAUUAUUUAAAAUAUAAAAAACUAUGUAAUCAAUAUGUAAAAGACAGCUCAGAUUGGGUUAUUUUUUACUAGCAGAUAAUUAGUUAAUGUAGGUAAAAGCCAAAUUUUGUUAAAUGAUGUAUAAAAUUUUAAUAUAUUAUAUGUUGAUAUAUGUUUUAGCACAUAGUUCGAAUGUAUGUACUGAUCGGAACUGUGAUCUUCGAUUGAGGUAUGAAUUCUCUACAAUAAAAGAGUUGUGGUGGUCUUCUCCGAACCACCCGGAUCCCACAAAUGAAUAAAAUUGGAUUUACACUAAAUCUCAUCUAAAUCUUUUUAUCAUUUUUAUGUAAAAAAGUUUGGUUUCAAACUCCAAUUCCAAAAAUGUGGUCAAUUAAGAUUAAAAAAUAAGUUUAUAAUUUUAAUUUAAAAAUAAUUAUUGCAAUUUUAUGGAAAGAAAUUUAGUAUAAAUCAUUGUGUGUGAAGAUUCGAUAUUAUACUCUAAUUUUCGUAGAAAAAAUAAAAUUGGUAAGCUUAAGUAAUCUUUUUACAUAUCGCGCUUACUGAACAUUUUUCAAUGUAUAACAUUUGUCAAUGUAUCACUUUAUUUUUUAUUUCAAAAUAGAGUAAAUUUAUAAUGAAGUUGAGUUUAUUUUAAUUCUAUUUUAUUUUGGAAUAAAAAUAAAAUAAUAAAUUAAAAAUAAAAUUAUGUAUUUAUAGAGUAAUUUUAUUUUUUAUUUUAUAAUAGAAUAGAAAAUAAAAUAGAAUAAGUGUAUUUUUUCUUUUGAACUCUAUUUUUUUUUUGGAACAACUGAACUUUAAACUCUAUUUAAAAGUAAAAAAUUGAGUAGAGCUGAAGAUGGUUUAACGACAAAGAAAGCAAAUUGAGAGAGUUCCAAAUAUGCGAAGGUGCGACAGAAUAUGCCACCGACGAAACGUGACACGUGAACGGCUGAGUAUACUUCUGAGGGAAUCCUAUAUGAUCUGACCAG